rnacentral:tRNA from 1 species
GGGAUUGUAGCUCAGUAGUAGAGCACUUGCCUAGCAUGCAUGAGGCACUGGGUUUAAUACCCAGUACCA